CAGAUCCCUAUGCCAUUGUCUCCUUCCUGCAUCAAAGCCAGAAGACGGUGGUGGAGAAGAACACCCUGAACCCCACCUGGGAUCAAACCCUCAUCUUCUAUGAGAUAGAGAUCUUUGGCGAGCCGGCCAGUGUCGCCGAGCGGCCACCCAGCAUUGUGGUGGAGCUGUAUGACCAUGACACCUAUGGCGCUGACGAGUUCAUGGGCCGCUGUAUUUGUCAGCCAAGCCUGGAACGGAUGCCCCGCCUGGCCUGGUUCCCACUGACCAGGGGCAGCCAGCCUGCCGGAGAGCUGCUGGCAGCGUUCGAGCUUAUCCAGAGAGAGAAGCCAGCCAUCCAUCACAUCCCUGGCUUUGAGAUGCACGAAACUUCAAGGAUUUUGGAUGAGACGGAGGACACAGACUUGCCUUACCCACCACCUCAAAGGGAGGCCAACAUCUACAUGGUUCCCCAGAACAUCAAGCCAGCUCUCCAGCGUACAGCCAUCGAGAUCCUGGCCUGGGGCCUUCGGAACAUAAAGAGCUAUCAGAUGGCCAGCGUGUCUUCCCCCAGCCUCGUGGUGGAGUGUGGUGGGCAGACAGUGCAGUCCUGUGUCAUCAGAAACCUUCGGAAGAACCCCAACUUUGACGUCUGUACUCUGUUCAUGGAAGUGGUG
rnacentral:lncRNA from 1 species